rnacentral:sRNA from 1 species
UGAUAUAUAAAGGGGCGAAAGUUCAAAAUGCAAACAUGCUUGCAUGUAAUGCAUUUUGAACUUUAUGCCCCGAACAGACAUGAGGAAAUAGCGAUUUACAAAGUAAAUCAGCGGUUUCCGAAUGUAUGUAGAAUUGCGAAAAUUGCGAUAGCAAUGGAGCAAUUCGUAUAUCA